rnacentral:rRNA from 1 species
UACGUAGGGUGCAAGCGUUAUUCGGAAUUACUGGGCGUAAAGCGUGCGCAGGCGGCUAUGUAAGUCCGUUGUGAAAUCCCCGGGCUCAACCUGGGAACUGCAUCUGUGACUGCAUCGCUGGAGUGCGGCAGAGGGGGAUGGAAUUCCGCGUGUAGCAGUGAAAUGCGUAGAUAUGCGGAGGAACACCGAUGGCGAAGGCAAUCCCCUGGGCCUGCACUGACGCUCAUGCACGAAAGCGUGGGGAGCAAACAGG